rnacentral:rRNA from 1 species
AACAUGACUCUCGACAAUGGAUAUCUCGACUCUUGCAACAAUGAAAAAUAUAAUGAAAUGCAAUACUUAGUGUGAAUUUCAAACUCUCGUGAAUCUUCGAGUGUUUGAAUGCAAGUUAUGCUCGAGGCUUCGACCGAGGGCACGUUUGCUUGGGCGUAAUAC